AUCAUUUUGGCAGAUAAAUGUGCCGGAUUUAGGAUCCGUAAAUAUAGAGUAUACCUAUAAAUGAUA
rnacentral:tRNA from 1 species